rnacentral:rRNA from 1 species
AGAGUUUGAUCCUGGCUCAGAUUGAACGCUGGCGGCAUGCCUAACACAUGCAAGUCGAACGAUGAUUAAGAGCUUGCUCUUAUGAUUAGUGGCGGACGGGUGAGUAACGUAUAGGGAUCUGCCUAUUAGUGGGGGACAACAUUCGGAAACGGAUGCUAAUACCGCAUACGCCCUACGGAGGAAAGCGGAGGACCUUUGGGCCUCACACUCUAGGAUGAGCCUAUGUCAGAUUAGCUAGUUGGUAGGGUAAAGGCCUACCAAGGCGACGAUCUGUAGCUGGUUUGAGAGAAUGAUCAGCCACACUGGGACUGAGACACGGCCCAUACUCCUACGGGAGGCAGCAGUGGGGAAUAUUGGACAAUGGGGGCAACCCUGAUCCAGCAAUGCAGCGUGUGUGAAGAAGGCCUGCGGGUUGUAAAGCACUUUCAAUUGGGAGGAAAAGCUGAGCGUUAAUAGCGUUUAGUAUUGACGUUACCAUUAGAAGAAGCACCGGCUAACUCCGUGCCAGCAGCCGCGGUAAUACGGGGGGUGCAAGCGUUAAUCGGAAUUACUGGGCGUAAAGCGCGCGUAGGUGGUUUGUUAAGUUGGAUGUGAAAGCCCAGGGCUCAACCUUGGAACUGCAUCCAAAACUGGCAGACUAGAGUACAGCAGAGGAUAGUGGAAUUUCAGGUGUAGCGGUGAAAUGCGUAGAUAUCUGAAGGAACAUCAGUGGCGAAGGCGACUGUCUGGGCUGAUACUGACACUGAGGUGCGAAAGCGUGGGGAGCAAACGGGAUUAGAUACCCUGGUAGUCCACGCCGUAAACGAUGUCUACUAGCCGUUGGGGAACUUGAUUCCUUAGUGGCGCAGCUAACGCACUAAGUAGACCGCCUGGGGAGUACGGCCGCAAGGUUAAAACUCAAAUGAAUUGACGGGGGCCCGCACAAGCGGUGGAGCAUGUGGUUUAAUUCGAUUCAACGCGAAGAACCUUACCAGGUCUUGACAUCCAGAGAACUUACUAGAGAUAGUUUGGUGCCUUCGGGAACUCUGUGACAGGUGCUGCAUGGCUGUCGUCAGCUCGUGUUGUGAAAUGUUGGGUUAAGUCCCGUAACGAUCGCAACCCCUGUGGUUAGUUACCAGCACGUAAUGGUGGGGACUCUAGCCAGACUGCCUACGCAAGUAGUGAGGAAGGUGGGGACGACGUCAAGUCAUCAUGGCCCUUACGUCCAGGGCUGCACACGUGCUACAAUGGCAAGAACAAUGGGUCGCCACCCGGCAACGGGGCGCAAAUCCACAAAACCAAUCUCAGUUCGGAUUGGAGUCUGCAACUCGACUCCAUGAAGUUGGAAUCGCUAGUAAUCGCGUAUCAGCAACGACGCGGUGAAUACGUUCCCGGGCCUUGUACACACCGCCCGUCAAGCGAUGGAAGUCAGGAGUACCUGAUGUCGCCCCUUCAAGGGGUGCCUAGGGUAAGCCUGGUAACUGGCGCUAAGUCGUAACAAGGUAACC